rnacentral:lncRNA from 1 species
GUGCUGCCUCCCUAUCCACUGGGAGUCCUUUUGCGUUUCAGAUGCUCCCAGGCUCUCCCGCAGUUUAAAGACUUAACUCAGCGGCUUUCAGGGCCUGUGGUUGAGGGACUCCGAAAGAACUGUUGCUGGUGGACCGGUUCAGGGUCUUGACUUCGCCACACAAAAGAACUUGAGAGCACGUCCAAAGUAAAGCUAAGACCUCUAGUACAGUGUUCAAUGGAACUGGUGAGAAAAGACGUCCUUGCUGUGUUCCUGAUAUGAAGAGGAAAGCAGUCCUUCUCCAUUAAGUAAAAUGCUGACAACAUGAGCCUCCCGUGGUCGGAACGGGCUUGUGAAGGCGGUGCUGGGGUGCACCAGGGCAGCAGCUACAGGGCUCUCCUCCCAAGCACCCAACGAGCAAGAUGGGUCUGAGGAUACCUGUGAGAAGUAAUUCAACACAUCUUUCACACAUGGGCCAAUUUGCUGGUCUAAGUUAAAUUGGAGUGACAAGGACAGCUGCUUAAAGA